rnacentral:rRNA from 1 species
GGCUAACUCUGUGCCAGCAGCCGCGGUAAUACAGAGGUCUCAAGCGUUGUUCGGAUUCAUUGGGCGUAAAGGGUGCGUAGGCGGCGGGGCAAGUCAGGUGUGAAAUCUCGGGGCUCAACUCCGAAACUGCACUUGAUACUGCCUUGCUAGAGUAUUGGAGAGGAGAUUGGAAUUUACGGUGUAGCAGUGAAAUGCGUAGAUAUCGUAAGGAAGACCAGUGGCGAAGGCGAAUCUCUGGACAAUUACUGACGCUGAGGCACGAAGGCCAGGGGAGCAAACGGGAUUAGAUACCCCGGUAGUCCUGGCAGUAAACGGUGCAUGUUUGGUGUGGGAGGAUUCGACCCCUUCUGUGCCGGAGCUAACGCGUUAAACAUGCCGCCUGGGGAGUACGGUCGCAAGAUUAAAACUCAAAGAAAUUGACGGGGGCCCGCACAAGCGGUGGAGUAUGUGGCUUAAUUCGAUGCAACGCGAAGAACCUUACCUAGCCUUGACAUGCAUCUCUAAGUCGGUGAAAGCCGGCGAGUGUAGCAAUACACAAUUUGCACAGGUGCUGCA